CGGACGGGUGAGUAACGCGUGAGAAUCUGCCUCUAAGAUGGGGACAACAGUUGGAAACGACUGCUAAUACCCGAUAUGACGAAAGUUGAAAGAUUUAUCGCUUAGAGAUGAGCUCGCGUUGGAUUAGCUAGUUGGUGGGGUAAAGGCUCACCAAGGCGACGAUCCAUAGCUGGUCUGAGAGGAUGAGCAGCCACACUGGGACUGAGACACGGCCCAGACUCCUACGGGAGGCAGCAGUGGGGAAUUUUCCGCAAUGGGCGAAAGCCUGACGGAGCAAUACCGCGUGAGGGAGGAAGGCUCUUGGGUCGUAAACCUCUUUUCUCAAGGAAGAUAAUGACGGUACUUGAGGAAUAAGCAUCGGCUAACUCCGUGCCAGCAGCCGCGGUAAUACGGAGGAUGCAAGCGUUAUCCGGAAUGAUUGGGCGUAAAGAGUCCGUAGGUGGUAGUUCAAGUCUGUGGUUAAAGCGUGGAGCUUAACUCCAUAAAGGCCAUGGAAACUGAACAACUAGAGUGAGGUAGGGGUAGAGGGAAUUCUCGGUGUAGCGGUGAAAUGCGUAGAUAUCGGGAAGAACACCGGUGGCGAAAGCGCUCUACUGGACCUUAACUGACACUGAGGGACGAAAGCUAGGGGAGCGAAAGGGAUUAGAUACCCCUGUAGUCCUAGCCGUAAACGAUGGAUACUAGGUGUUGCCCGUAUCGACCCGGGCAGUGCCGUAGCUAACGCGUUAAGUAUCCCGCCUGGGGAGUACGCACGCAAGUGUGAAACUCAAAGGAAUUGACGGGGGCCCGCACAAGCGGUGGAGUAUGUGGUUUAAUUCGAUG
rnacentral:rRNA from 1 species